UACGGAGGGUGCGAGCGUUGUCCGGAAUCAUUGGGCGUAAAGCGCGCGCAGGCGGUCUUCCAAGUCCGUUGUGAAAGCCCUGGGCUCAACCUGGGAACUGCGAUGGAUACUGAGGAGCUGGAGUACGGUAGAGGAAGGUGGAAUUCCCGGUGUAGCGGUGAAAUGCGUAGAGAUCGGGAGGAACAUCAGUGGCGAAGGCGGCCUUCUGGACCAGUACUGACGCUGAGGCACGAAAGCGUGGGGAGCAAACAGG
rnacentral:rRNA from 1 species